rnacentral:lncRNA from 1 species
GUGAACUCUGCUAUAUUGAACCUGCCUGCUAUUAUAGUGAUACCUUCAGAAAUGCAUUCUCCACCUAUUAAUAUGAAAACCCUCUUAGUCAGGGAAAGACCAGCAUUCUGUAAAGGAAACCUAUUAUAUUUCAAGUUUUGCUGCAGAAUUUCAGUUUAUUUUACAGAGAGAACGUGGGAAUUGCUUCAACAGGAAUAGAAAAGCAAUGGUUUGUUAUGUGUUAGAGAAGAGGCAAGUCUGAAUUGUAUUCCAUUUUCAUUAGCACACUUCUUAUCUCCUGUAAUUAGCACUCUCACCAUAUGUAGAAUGAAAAAAAAAAAAAAAGGUUCAAUUUAUGUUAUAGAAUUGGUAGAAUUAGACUAAUUGAUUAACAGCAAUUUCCCUCUUCAAAUAAAUGGAGCCACAUGAUAGCUGCAAAGGAUACAAACAAAGCCUGGAGUCUGGUAAGAAUACCAGUUUGGAAUACAAAGAGAUAAGGACCAAGGCCUGGAGUCUCAAAUUAAAAGUAAACCAUUUCUAUAUGGCUGCCUUCCUCAUGACAGUCUAAGCUCAGAUAAGACAGCUGUGCCAAAUCAAAGAGAUGGCCUUGAGCUCAGGCAGCUGAACACCUAGGAGGGGGAAAAGGGUCUCCUGGCCCUGAAACUUCUUUCUCACAAAGAAAGCUACUUCUGCACUGUUUUCAUUUUCAGUGGAGAAUUGAUCCUGGCUUCCAGUUCCCAGUCCUUUUCAUGCCUUCACUGAAACUCUAUCCCUUCAAGAAUGCAGAGCCUAUUUUUGAUGAAGCCUUCUGGAGUUCUGUCUCUCCCCAGCUACAGAAGUAUUCUGAGGAGUAUCACAAGAUAUCAGAAGUCAGAUCACAAGAUAACCUAUGGAUAUAUUUAGAAGAGUGCAACUGGAAAAAUCUACCAUCCCUGAAAAAACAUUUUUGAAAUGUAAUUAUAUUUUUGUCUAUUUGUCAAAAAGUAAAAUAAAAGCAUGCAGAGAAGUAAGCUAGGCUAAGAU